rnacentral:rRNA from 1 species
CGCGUAGGCGGCGCGGUAAGUCAAAGGUGAAAUCCCUCGGCUCAACUGAGGGACUGCCUUUGAAACUGUCGUGCUUGAGGCCGGGAGAGGGUAGUGGAAUUCCCAGUGUAGCGGUGAAAUGCGUAGAUAUUGGGAGGAACACCAGUGGCGAAGGCGGCUACCUGGACCGGAACUGACGCUGAUGCGCGAAAGCGUGGGUAGCAAACA